rnacentral:piRNA from 1 species
UGCGGUCUCUCUGCCUUCGGACUCCUCUUU